GUUGGGGAAAUGCUCUCUUUAUGGAUCAGCAGCAGUCUGUCUUAAACUUGGAUAUUUGGAGAAGCAUUUUCCAACAUACUCUCACAGAUAAAUGACUUGGGAUUGUCUGAUCUACCUUUCACUGGGAAAUGACUUGAAAGGCUUCCCUGAAAGCCUCCAAUGCUUUUGAGGUUUGAUGUCUAGGACUUCUGACACUGGCUUCCCACUGAAUUUAGGAGAGCAAGGUUGUCGCGGCAUCUGCAAGCCACAAAAAUAGAUAAAGGUGAGAGCCAUUUAUAUCGCAGCAUACAAACUUUAUCUAGUGUCCUUGACAUCUAGUAGGAAGCAAAUCUCUAUCAAUUACAUAUGGUAAUAUCUACUUUUAUCAAUGGAAACAGAAAGUACCUUCUUCAUUUGAUUA